rnacentral:lncRNA from 1 species
UAGGCGGAGCUGAGCGAUUUUUUAUUUUUUAUUUUUUGAAACCAAUUUCAGAAACCAAGUCUCGUCGUCCACUUCGUCUCUUUUUCCUCAACUGCAGUGCACUCACCCGCUGCAACUUCGAGAGGUUUUCUGGGCCAUCGUCUUCGAUCAUCUCUCUUAGUUUCCACGGUUUCCAUUCUUGUUGGCGUUGAAGGCUCUGCAACUCUUCCCGUCUUGAACUCUCAUCGGAUCUGCAACUCUAACUCUCGCAUCUGCAUCGAAACUCCCAUAUGUGUCUGCAUCUAAAUAUAGCCAUGGUUGCUUUCCUAGAGGUUUCUGGAAAAAGAACAAGCGAGAGAGAGAGAGAGAGAGAGAGACUAAAAGAGUGCUAGAGGUUUC